rnacentral:misc_RNA from 1 species
UUCUCUUGAAGCUUCAAGUGCCUUUUGGCGCUUAGCUCUUGUCUCAUGAUCAAGUUUAGACCUGGGACCUUUAGAUGCCAUGGGUUUUUCUGUAUUUAUAAUAUGCUGGCUACACAAUUAAAGAACCGUUCAUUUCUUUAGCUCUACUCCGACUAUUUCUUCCCAACCAAACUAAGCUCCAAUCACAUGAAAAACAAAAGAACGAAUCUACCAUGGCG